UCCCUUCACAAGCGACUAGAGUAGUGAAGUAAGUUGGUCUUUGAAAUAUAGGUUGAUACAGUAUAACAUUCCUAAAGUGAGGGUACUUGUAGAUACUUAUAACAGAUAAGACUUAAAGUCUUGACUUAAG